AGUGAACGCUGGCGGUAGGCCUAACACAUGCAAGUCGAACGGCAGCACAGUAAGAGCUUGCUCUUACCGGGGGCGAGUGGCGGACGGGUGAGGAAUACAUCGGAAUCUACUUUUUCGUGGGGGAUAACGUAGGGAAACUUACGCUAAUACCGCAUACGACCUACGGGUGAAAGCAGGGGAUCUUCGGACCUUGCGCGAUUGAAUGAGCCGAUGUCGGAUUAGCUAGUUGGCGGGGUAAAGGCCCACCAAGGCGACGAUCCGUAGCUGGUCUGAGAGGAUGAUCAGCGACACUGGAACUGAGACACGGUCCAGACUCCUACGGGAGGCAGCAGUGGGGAAUAGUGGACAAUGGGCGCAAGCCUGAUCCAGCCAUACCGCGUGGGUGAAGAAGGCCUUCGGGUUGUAAAGCCCUUUUGUUGGGAAAGAAAAGCAGCAGGUUAAUACCCCGCUGUUCUGACGGUACCCAAAGAAUAAGCACCGGCUAACUUCGUG
rnacentral:rRNA from 1 species